rfam:Candidatus Staskawiczbacteria bacterium RIFCSPHIGHO2_01_FTLL_36_16 rifcsphigho2_01_scaffold_32228, whole genome shotgun sequence.
GUCCGUGUAGCUCAAUUGGAUAGAGCGGUGGAUUCCUAAUCCGCAGGUUAGGGGUUCGAGCCCCCUCACGGAUA